AGCAGGCGCGCAAAUUACCCAAUCCCAAUACGGGGAGGUAGUGACAAUAAAUACUGAUACGGGGCUCUUUCGGGUCUCGUAAUUGGAAUGAGUACAAUCUAAAUCCCUUAACGAGGAACAAUUGGAGGGCAAGUCUGGUGCCAGCAGCCGCGGUAAUUCCAGCUCCAAUAGCGUAUAUUAAAGUUGUUGCAGUUAAAAAGCUCGUAGUUGAACCUUGAGCCUGGCUGGCCGGUCCGCCUCACCGCGUGCACUGGUCCGGCCGGGUUUUUCCUUCUGGGGAGCCGCAUGCCCUUCACUGGGUGUGUCGGGGAACCAGGACUUUUACUUUGAAAAAAUUAGAGUGUUCAAAGCAGGCCUAUGCUCGAAUACAUUAGCAUGGAAUAAUAGAAUAGGACGUGUGGUUCUAUUUUGUUGGUUUCUAGGACCGCUGUAAUGAUUAAUAGGGAUAGUCGGGGGCGUCAGUAUUCAAUUGUCAGAGGUGAAAUUCUUGGAUUUAUUGAAGACUAACUACUGCGAAAGCAUUCGCCAAGGAUGUUUUCAUUAAUCAGUGAACGAAAGUUAGGGGAUCGAAGACGAUCAGAUACCGUCGUAGUCUUAACCAUAAACUAUGCCGACUAGGGAUCGGACGGUGGUUUUUUUAUGCCCCGUUCGGCACCUUACGAGAAAUCAAAGUUUUUGG
rnacentral:rRNA from 1 species